CCCUUGGAUGUCCUGGGCCGCACGCGCGUUACACUGAUGCACUCAACGAGUCUACCUUGGCCGAGAGGCCUGGGAAAUCUUGUUAACAUGCAUCGUGAUAGGGAUAGAUUAUUGCAAUUAUUAAUCUUGAACGAGGAAUUCCUAGUAAACGCAGAUCAUCAAUCUGCAUUGAUUACGUCCCUGCCCUUUGUACACACCGCCCGUCGCACCUACCGAUUGAAUGGUCCGGUGAAGCCUCGGGAUUGCGAUGAGUUUCCUUUAUUGGGAGUUUGUCGCGAGAACUUGUCUAAACCUUAUCAUUUAGAGGAAGGUGAAGUCGUAACA
rnacentral:rRNA from 1 species